AAGCCAUGAUGAGGGCAUUGUCUUUGUAGACUCUUGAAUUUGUCUCAUGCUUCAAAUAACGACUCUCCAUCAGUCUGAGCAAAAUUUGUUAUGCAAUUCCUCAUGU